GCUAGGCCUAGGGGGCCCGAAUGACUGGGGCUGGAUAGGAAUGCCUUCAUGUUUCCCAAGACCCCCGGGCUUGCUCCACAAAGUUUGGAGGGUGGGUACACCCCGAUCCAGGCAAGUUGCUCCCCCAAACCCAUGACUGACUAAUCUGAUAUGACAAAAGCCCAUGAUGGAUUUGGUAUAUGUUAAUUCACAAUGCCCUUUCCUCCAGAAUUUAACUAUAAGUUAAUACACACCGGAAACCACGCGCAAACACGCUCCUUAAUGGGCUUAGGUAUUAGCGAGUCCUAACGAUGCAUACAAAUGUGCUCUGCGCUCUGUAGGCCCCUCAAGAUUUAUGGGCCUUGAGCUCUCUGAAGCUGUAAACAAGGAGGAAAAAAAAAAAAAAAAAAAGAGAAAGCGAAAGCGACUGGGGGGAAGAGACAGAGGCCUGACUCGCCCCUCCAGGUUGUGGGAGAGAAGGGAUUCUUUACGUAUUUUCCUUUCCUUGCAAGCUCGGUGCGUGUGGGUUUUGGCGUUGGUCUGGGGGUGGUGUUCUGCCUGAAUACUGGCGUGCGUGGGCAGUGUGUUGUUUGCGUGCUGGGGUAGGAUGCCUGCCUCUUUGGAUUGCUGUGCAGGGGCCUGAACACAGCAGGCAUUUGUGAGCAUAUAUGUGUGAGUGUGUGUACUGCGUUUGUGUGUGUGUGUGUGUGUGUGAGAGAGAGAGAGAGAGAGACAGAGAGAGAGAGAGAGAGGCAGGCUUCCCCCUGGGCCAGGCUGCUGUCCCCUGAACGUGGUGAACAAAUCUCUAACAACAAUCAUAAUAACAAUAAAUAAUGAAUAAUAAUAAUAAAACAGUAGUUAACAGUCCCUCCAUAACAGGAUAACAAUAAAAUGCAAGAGGAAAUAUUUUGAGGUGGAGACAGGAAGGAGUCAGGAUCACAGCAUCUGAGGUGGAGAUAGGAAAAGAAGGGAGGAAGAAAGCUUCUCAAUAUGCCCUUGGGGGGCUGGGGUUGGGAACCCCUUUCCCAGACAAGGGACAGAAGAGGGGAAGGAGAGCCAGGAGACCACUCUUUAUUGCUUUUUUUCUCAGGCUUCUGCUUUGUGCGAUCAGGGAAGGGAUCCCACAUAUGGGGAUGGUUAAUGGCUUUUGGGACUCUCUAGGAGCCCCUGUUUUAAGGAGGAGGCCAAAUGUGCAGGGUCAGGCCAAGGGGCAGAGAUGAAUGAGGCGAUGACCACAGCCUUGAUCCGGCAGGAGCGCAGAGAUGCCCGGGAGAACGGGCCCCGGACGGAAGCAGAAAAACACUUAUGGCCGCCGGGGAGUGGGGAGAGCCAGGCUAGGGCUCCGGCAGGCCCAGGUCCCUUUCUAGGCUCUUUAUUUAAAAAUGUAAAAGGAGGAGUUGAGGCGCCAUGAAUUUUCCUUCGCGAGCUUGGAGACUAGCCGAUUUUUCAUGAAGGAAGCAAAGACUUCGGUCCCGGAUCCUGCAACAUCCACCUCAUUCUCUCCAGGCCUCUCCACUUGCCCGAGCUCUCAGCCACCAGGAGACUGACGGAAGGGGCUUCUGGGCUGCGUUGGGAGCGGGCACUGUCCCCCACCCACUCCUGUUCUGUUUCCCAAAGUCCAGCGACCUCCGACUCUCCUUGGGGGGAAAAAUACCAGUACCCAGAUACCUCUGCACCCUGUUAUAUGACUCGGCUUGCUUCAGGAAUAUCUUACAAAGAAGAAGAAGAAGAAAGAACGGCUUGGAGUCAUGUUUACAUCUAGUUCUACUGAUCCGUUCACAUCUGGAGAGUUUAUUUAUAACUCCCUCUAUAACUCUCUGUUUGGAGGCACUGGUGGCUCUAUUGACAGACUGAUGUCUAGGAAAUAUUGCUCUAUGUCUAACCGUACCUAAAUGUGCUGUGGUUGUAUUUACAGAUUUAUGUUUGAGGGAAAUAUAAUUAUUUCCAUUGUAUUUGUGCAUAUACAGUAGUUAUAAGAGCAGAUUUAUAUAUGGGAAAAUAUACGACUCUCUUACAGCCAUCCGGCUUUAUGUACAUUUGAUAUCCUGACAGAUUUAUAUCUCUGAACAGCUAUAUAGAUAAAAAUGUAUAUUGUUAGAAUUAUGUAUCAGGAGAUAUAUACUUAUUGAUUGUGAAAUAGAGUAGUUAGAGCAUUCACUUAGAGCCAUAUAUGGCUAUGGAGACGUUUCUAUAUUAUUAUCGCUAUAUAUAGGCAUAUCUGUUUAUAACUACAUAGUUAUAAAAAUAGACAUAAAUAAUUAUAGUCCUAUAUGUGCAUGCUGCAAUCUCUCUCUAGAGUUAUAGACACUUUCAAAUAUAACUCUAUAGAGAGAUCUGUAUGUAUAUAAGGUGUAAUUAUCUUGUGAUGUGUGUGCGUUAGGACUUAGGCCCGUCUAUCUCAGAACAGACAUAUUUAUAUGUAGGAGCUGGGAAAGACUUGUUCACAGAUAUCUGCAGAGGGCCAACUGGAAACACUGUAUCUGCCCUCUAGGAAACCAGCUAGCAGAGUUGUGUACUUAUGGAGGGAUGGAGUUACAAAAGGGUAAAUAGAGCUCAGGGAGCCUCAAGGAGGGAGGUGAAUGGAGGGUGGGUGGGCUCCGUUUGAACAGAUAGCGGGAGGAAAGGGGUAAACACCAGUACCCACCAGAAGGUGAGAACCGGUUUUGUGAGGGGCUGGCGCAGAAGGUGGACAAGGAGCUUGUAAAACGGGAAGCAGUGAACAGUCCUGCCAUCUCACCCUGAGACACUCCACCGAGGAAGCAGCCUUCAGUUUGGCUUUUAGUGCACUGAAAGAUAGGGACUGUCGUGUCCCUCCUGCAGUCCUAGCGCGUUUCUGUUGAACCCUAAUUUUUAGAUCUCAAAGAGUGGGCUUCAGAGAUAAAGAGAUUUAGGCAGGGACAGGGCGGGGAGCGUGGGGUGUACUUUCACUUUCUGAUAAGUGAGGUAAUCCAGGAAAGUGAGUUAAUUUGGCCAAAAUAAAGCUUGUUUUUAUCUGGG